GGAGGGGCCUCCGGCGAGGGGCAGUGGCUUAUACCCACUUCGGCGCCAGAUUAGCGCGGCCAGACAGGUUCGACUCCUGUACCCUCUACCA
rnacentral:tRNA from 1 species